GUGGGGAAUAUUGGACAAUGGGCGCAAGCCUGAUCCAGCAAUGCCGCGUGGGUGAAGAAGGUCUUCGGAUCGUAAAGCCCUUUCGACAGGGACGAUGAUGACGGUACCUGUAGAGGAAGCCCCGGCUAACUUCGUGCCAGCAGCCGCGGUAAUACGAAGGGGGCUAGCGUUACUCGGAAUUACUGGGCGUAAAGGGCGCGUAGGCGGCUCUGUUAGUCAGGCGUGAAAUUCCUGGGCUUAACCUGGGGACUGCGCUUGAUACUGCAGGGCUUGAGGCCGAGAGAGGGUGGUGGAAUUCCCAGUGUAGAGGUGAAAUUCGUAGAUAUUGGGAAGAACACCGGUGGCGAAGGCGACCACCUGGCUCGGUUCUGACGCUGAGGCGCGACAGCGUGGGGAGCAAACAGGAUUAGAUACCCGGGUAGUCC
rnacentral:rRNA from 1 species